CACAUGCAAGUCGAGCGGAUGAAGAGAGCUUGCUCUCUGAUUCAGCGGCGGACGGGUGAGUAAUGCCUAGGAAUCUGCCUGGUAGUGGGGGACAACGUUUCGAAAGGAACGCUAAUACCGCAUACGUCCUACGGGAGAAAGCAGGGGACCUUCGGGCCUUGCGCUAUCAGAUGAGCCUAGGUCGGAUUAGCUAGUUGGUGAGGUAAUGGCUCACCAAGGCGACGAUCCGUAACUGGUCUGAGAGGAUGAUCAGUCACACUGGAACUGAGACACGGUCCAGACUCCUACGGGAGGCAGCAGUGGGGAAUAUUGGACAAUGGGCGAAAGCCUGAUCCAGCCAUGCCGCGUGUGUGAAGAAGGUCUUCGGAUUGUAAAGCACUUUAAGUUGGGAGGAAGGGUUGUAGAUUAAUACUCUGCAAUUUUGACGUUACCGACAGAAUAAGCACCGGCUAACUCUGUGCCAGCAGCCGCGGUAAUACAGAGGGUGCAAGCGUUAAUCGGAAUUACUGGGCGUAAAGCGCGCGUAGGUGGUUCGUUAAGUUGGAUGUGAAAGCCCCGGGCUCAACCUGGGAACUGCAUUCAAAACUGACGAGCUAGAGUAUGGUAGAGGGUGGUGGAAUUUCCUGUGUAGCGGUGAAAUGCGUAGAUAUAGGAAGGAACACCAGUGGCGAAGGCGACCACCUGGACUGAUACUGACA
rnacentral:rRNA from 1 species